rnacentral:rRNA from 1 species
GACGAACGCUGGCGGCGUGCCUAAUACAUGCAAGUAGGACGCAGUUGCGAACGGGUGAGUAACGCGUAGGUAACUGCCUAUUAGAGGGGGAUAACUAUUGGAAACGAUAGCUAAUACCGCAUACUAGUAGAUGGACCUGCGUUGUAUUAUCUAGUAGGUCGGGUAAUGACCUACCUAGGCGACGAUACAUAGCCGACCUGAGUGGGGGAUCGGCUACAACGGGACUGGGACACGUCCGAGACUCCUACGGGAGGCAGCAGUAGGGAAACUUCGGGAAUGGGGGGAACCCUGACCGAGCAACGGCGCGUGAGUGGAGAAGGUUUUCGGAUCGUAAAGCUCUGUUGUUAAGGAAGCGGUACUUAACCAGAAAGGGACGGCUAACUACGUGCCAGCCGCCGCGGUAAUAC